rnacentral:lncRNA from 1 species
CUGGAGUUGGACCGGUGCCAAUAAAGGUCCGUGCUGAGCCUGGAUGUUACAAUUGGCGACGAGGUGAAUAUCGUGCUAUGGAAGAUGGCUGAAGGCUUCAGUUUAGCCCCAUUUGAUUUACGCGAAGAUGUGUGGGAAGAGUGGUUCGAGAGAUUUGAGUUUUACUUGGAUGCAAGAAAUGUGACUGACAGUGGCAAGAAGAAGUCCUACCUGCUUUCACAAUGCGAAGCGGCUUCCAGGGACGCCAGGAUCAUCGGAGGACAGGAGAGCACCGUCAACGAGAUCUCUGUGCCGGGUCGGGACGUGACGCCGGGUGGGAUCAAUGAAGUGCACGCCGGCCAACGCAGUCGCGACGUUUCAGGAGAUACAUCCGACUCCUGAGUUGAAGAAGCCAAAGUCUGU